CGCGGCCUAUCAGCUUGUUGGUGAGGUUAUGGCUUACCAAGGCGACGACGGGUAGCCGGCCUGAGAGGGUGUCCGGCCACACUGGGACUGAGAUACGGCCCAGACUCCUACGGGAGGCAGCAGUGGGGAAUAUUGCACAAUGGGCGCAGGCCUGGUGCAGCGACGCCGCGUGAGGGAUGACGGCCUUCGGGUUGUAAACCUCUUUCAGUACAGACGAAGCGUAAGUGACGGUAUGUACAGAAGAAGCACCGGCCAACUACGUGCCAGCAGCCGCGGUAAUACGUAGGGUGCGAGCGUUGUCCGGAAUUACUGGGCGUAAAGAGCUCGUAGGUGGUUUGUCGCGUUGUUCGUGAAAACCUGAGGCUUAACCUUGGGCGUGCGGGCGAUACGGGCAGACUGGAGUACUGCAGGGGAGACUGGAAUUCCUGGUGUAGCGGUGGAAUGCGCAGAUAUCAGGAGGAACACCGGUGGCGAAGGCGGGUCUCUGGGCAGUAACUGACGCUGAGGAGCGAAAGCGUGGGGAGCGAACAGGAUUAGAUACCCUGGUAGUCCACGCCGUAAACGGUGGGUACUAGGUGUGGGUUUCCUUCCUUGGGAUCCGUGCCGUAGCUAACGCAUUAAGUACCCCGCCUGGGGAGUACGG
rnacentral:rRNA from 1 species